AUUGAACGCUGGCGGCAGGCCUAACACAUGCAAGUCGAGCGGAUGAAGGGAGCUUGCUUCUGGAUUCAGCGUCGGACGGGUGUGUAAUGCCUAUGAAUCUGCUUGGUUGUACUGGAUAACGUCUGGAAACGGCCGCUAAUACUGCCUACUUCCUGCUCGCGCAACUUGGGGAUCUUCGGACCUUACGCUCUCAUAUGAUCCUACGUCGGAUUGGCUAGUUUGUUGGGUAAAGGCCUACUAAGCCGACGAUCCGUAACUGGACUGAGAGAAGGAUCAGUCACAAUGGAAGGUGAACACGGUCCAGACGCCUAAGGGAGGCAGCAGUGGGGAAUAUGGGACAGUGGGCGGAAGCAUGAAACAGCGAUGCCGCGUGUGUGAAGAAGGUCUUCGGAUUGUAAAGAACGUUAAGUGGGGAGAAAGGGCAGUAAGUUAAUACCUUGCGGUAGUGACGGUACCAACAGAAUAAGCACCGGCUAACUACGUG
rnacentral:rRNA from 1 species